UUGGAAAGAGUUGAGGAACAAUGGCUCC
rnacentral:piRNA from 1 species